rnacentral:rRNA from 1 species
GACCUCGGAUCAGGUAGGGAUACCCGCUGAACUUAACCAUAUCAUA